GAUGAACGCUGGCGGCGUGCCUAAUACAUGCAAGUCGAGCGGAAACACUUCGGGUGUCGAGCGGCGGACGGGUGAGUAACGCGUGGGAACGUACCCCAAACUGAGGGAUAAGCCAAAGAAAUUUGGUCUAAUACCGCAUAUGGUCUUCGGAUUAAAGCCUUCGGGCGGUUUGGGAACGGCCCGCGUCAGAUUAGCUUGUUGGUGAGGUAAAAGCUUACCAAGGCAAUGAUCUGUAACUGGUCUGAGAGGAUGAUCAGUCACACUGGAACUGAGACACGGUCCAGACUCCUACGGGAGGCAGCAGUAGGGAAUCUUCCACAAUGGACGAAAGUCUGAUGGAGCAACGCCGCGUGCAGGAUGAAGGCCUUCGGGUUGUAAACUGCUUUUAUAAGUGAAGAUUAUGACGGUAACUUAUGAAUAAGGAUCGGCAAAUUCCG
rnacentral:rRNA from 1 species